ensembl:lncRNA
UCAGCACCUCUAGUGAUUUUGCUCACCCGAAGCAGUGUCCAUGGGAGGCCCAGGAAGAGGGAGAGGAGCAGAAAGCAGAAGAGCCCUGUUUGGCUGUCUCACAGGAGGAGGAUGGCUUCUCCCACCACACACUGCCUCACAGUGCUCUUGUCCUGGCCUGACCUGACUGUCAUGAAGCUUGCUAUGGAUUUUGUACCUGCGCUCUGACUGUUGGGCUGCAUCAGAACUUCUCUGCUCAAGAGAACCCGUUUGCAUCGCAGCUGUGAGCAAGUCCAGCUUCUCUUGUGACACACAGAAAACUGUGAUUCAGCUCAGGUAGCUCUCUUCGUUACAUGAUGACAAAAGGGUGAUGUGUUGCUGGCCCGCUGGGAGGCCACCCACGGCCCUCAGUGUCCCAGCAUGUUCCUGUGCAUGUGAACAUCCCUGAGGCUGCUUCCUGGAGAUGUCUGUCACAUCACACGGGCCAGUUCCACUACGUGCCAGUGAUCCAUGCUAUGGCUUUGGUAUUUUCUGCUGGACGUACUUUCCAGUGCAUCCUGGGAGCAUGCUUGUAUUGCCGUAACUGCAUCCCAUGGGCACCCCAAAUCAUUAAUCACCAGUGUGCUCUUUUCCUCUUCUGCUGGUUCCAGACGAGUUCCCAGUUCAUAGCGUAAGUUCCUGCUGUUAAUCCAUAAGCCAUAACCUUUAUAUUGGGUACUGUUCAACACAAUUAGAUUUCUGUUACAUGAUGUUCUUUCCUGCAGUUAAACAUGACUUGCUUUACUUAUGCAGCCAGCCUCAGGUGAGAUUUAAUUGUAACCUUGGGGUUCAAGCUCUGUGCUUGCAUACCACUCUGUGAACCUGCCGGCCCACCAACCCAUCACCCGUACUCAUCUCAAUACAUGAGCAAUCAUCCACAGCUCUCUGCAGCCUUGUUUUGUGGGGCUGAGCACAGAGCAUGCAGCCAGAAGAGUUGUUCAAUGCUGGCAUGGCCAAGCUGAGGCUGAACAUCAGCCCUGUCCAAAGGACCCACUCUUUCCAGAGCAAAGAAACUCUUUCCAUUAGCCAAAGAAUGAAUCCAGGAUGGCUGGGAGUCAGGUCACCCUGACUGCAAUGUAAACAUGGUACCUGCUCUGGUGCAAGCUGCAAUGGAAAACAAAGGCACAAUAGACCAGACAAGGUCAUUACACACAAUUUGAUCCAAUUAUAUAUCUAAACCCACGGCUCUUUGUGCUGUGAGUUUGAUUUUGUGCUGAGAGGCAGAGAAAGCAGCCUUAUAUAUAAUGGAGCAGCGCUGGGCACUGAGUGCUUUGGUGCCACAAGAGCAUGACAGUAAGAGAAAUGCCUGGGGAAGUGAAUCAAUAGCAGCAGGCCGCCAGCUGCAGGGUGAGGACGGGGUAAAUUGCUGGAAGAAACUUUCCCAGCCACCAGACAAGUUGGGAGAACAAUACAAAGAACAGGAUGUGAGGCACUUCCCGGCACUGGCGACUCUGCGCCAAGGAGCGCGGCCGCUUCCAGGGCUAUCUUUAUACCCCUGUAAUCUGGAGACGUUUUCUAACGUUUUCUCUCAAUUUCUGUGCUCGUUGGGAAGCUGCUGUUUCUUUUAGCUCUCCUUCAGAGAGCCAAUCCUCGCUGCAAAAAUACGAGGCCGCGUUCCUCCACCCUUCCGAUCGAUGCCACCCCUGGCAGAUCUCUGAGCAAGACUGGGAAUAGGCCAGUUCCCCCUCUGGCAUCUGGUUGAUAGAGCAAUGCCCACGCUUUUUUGCUUUUUCCCAUCCCUCUCCCUCCUCCCAUCCCUGAGGGAUGGAGACAUUUGUUGCUUGUUCUGAUGUCUGUUACCAGCCACUCUCAUCUCCAUGCGUAGAUCCCAUAGAGGUGCUUCUCCCUCGAAUAUCUGAGCCAUUGCAAGUGAAAGAAAAACAAAACGCGGCCCUGUGAUUUUCCUCCCUGCUAUCAGGAAACAGGCUCCUCCAUGUGCAUCAGCUGAGCCCAGCAGGCGGCAAAGCAAGAGGUGGAUGUUAUUUCAGGAAAAGCCUGGCCCCUUGGGCUUGAGACAGAGCAGCAUCCCAGGCUGCAGUCCCCUGGCUCCUGUUGCACGUAGGGAAUUUGGGUGGAAGAAGGAAUCCCAGAAAUGUGGCUUUUCUCUUCUGUCCUCUAGGUUUUGCAGAGCAGGUGUACCCAGGGCAGCUCAGUUCUACUGGGACAGGUCACCGGGUACUGCGUGGUCUGGUAUUUCCCACUGCUUUGGUGCUGGACGUUAAACAGGAGACCAAAGAGCAUUUCUGUGGCAUAAUGUGGGAGAGUGAUGGUGUGUGAUGUGCUGGAGGCUCUGAUGCUCGGGGAGCGGGGUGUACGCCACGUGGGAGAAGCAGUAGUGCCCCGUGGUUGUGCUAGGUGGCAUGGGCUGAAUGGCAGCAAAAGGCUCCUUCCAGCCGCAGGCACGCUGCAGUGCUCUCUGGAAACCACAGCUGAAAUCACAGUCACAUUGAUGUCAACACCAAAAAGGAAAAACAAACAGCAAAGCGAUGUGACAGACUCAGCACAAUAUUUCUCUUGACUUACUGAUCAGCACUUAAUGCUGGUUUUAGGUGUUUCUAGCUCACUGUAAGUCCAAUUCUAGUCUCAAAACAUCGUGUCAGCAUGAAAAGUAGGAGUGCAUCACAUACAGAGAGCUGCUUAGACUUUUCAUUUUAUUCAAAUGUACAUAUUUUGGCCACAGCUCCUUGCUGAAUUCAGCACAGAUGCAGGUUUGGUCAGCCUGAACUUGCAUCUAUCAGUGCUUAAAACAUUCAUCACACUGUUUUUUACCUGGCUGUAGCCAUGAUGUUGUGUGAAGCACUGUUUCACUAUACAUGGGUAGCUAGGGCACAGCUGUUCUUUGGGAUCUGAGCAGCUCUGAGGUAGGUCACCUUUACCUCUAAAACCAGUACUCAUUUGCACUUUGUAAAGCAUAUUUCCUCCUCAGUCACGCAGGAUUUUUUGCUUCUUUAGAAGUAUUUCUUUUGUAGCAGAUUUUUAUGCAGAUUUUUAUGCAAUAACUUAUUACUAGGUUGUUUUCUAUUGAUGCGGAGAAAUCUUUCAUGCAAUUUGCAUCCCAUUAACAGCUUCAUAAGAGAUGAUCCUGAUUCUAAUAGCUCUGCACAAUAAGCCAAUAAAGCCAAAUAUGGAAGGGAUUAUGAAGUGCAUUGCUGUUAUACCCCAAAAUGGCUCAUCCUUUCAAAAUAGAGGCAUUGACUCCUCUGACACCGAAGGUUAGUCCUAAGAGUUACAACUAUCUGGUAUUUUUUCAGCAGUGCUUUGACUGCCUUUUAUCUCCUGUUUUUUGCCCUGUCCGUUUUCUCGCAUUAGCAGCAGUGACCGCAAAACCAAAGCAGAGCCCCAGUCUUCAUGGACUGAUGCCUCACAGGUGGGUGUCAGAUGCAGCCUUCCAGGUGCAAAACACUGCCGGAUUCCAGCACUGUAAUAAAACCAGUGUUACAUCAUUUCUGCAGUGGUGGAACAACAACAGAACCUGCCUUGGGGCAGGUAUAUGCACUAGCCAUUGGCCCUGUCACAAACACCUUCCUGUAGGCAUUUUACACCAUAUACUACAAGUUUCCACCACCUGUAGAACAGGCCAAGAGUCUAUGCUGAGGCUUACGGAGCUGCUCUGAUGCUGCGUGGGCUGGUGGGGAGAAUACCAGCCGUGGAAAUGAGUUAACUCUCUCCCUGGUGACAGUCUCAACCUGCUGUCUCAGGGUUUUCCUCCAGUUUCAUAAACCAAGGAUUUGAAGUGAAGGGCAGACAUUAGAAACUGGCCUCCUGCUCAGUAGAGAGAUGGAGGGGAGUGCCUGUGUGGGAAAACUCAUCACUGCAUGAGACCCUGUGCAUUACAUCAGUCAUGUACAGUACCUGUGUGUAAGACAGACAUAGAGGCUUCAUGGCAGUGGUGGUGGCCAGAGUAGCACUCACAUGCUGGGGUCACCAGCAUCUGCUUAUGGGGUAUCCCCUGUCUGUCUUGGCUGGAGAGCCAGUAUGAGUCACCAUGGCCACCACAGGCCACUGCUGCUCCCCACACUCACUUGAGCUGUGCCAAAGCAGCCACGUGGGACAUAAAGAAUGUGGCAGAUUGGGAAGGCAGAGCAAGGCAGCAGCUGGAGACACUACUAAGAGGUGGGAAGGUUUCUGCUCCCGUCCCUCAGCAAGCACAUGCAUAUGCUAUGCUGAUACUUCUGUUUCUUACCGGAGUUGGAAAAUUGCAGCUGUGGUGGAUGAGAUGGUGGGGGAGUGGGAGUUGGGCAGUCUGGUAUGAUGAGAAGCUGGCUCAGAGGAGAAAAGGGGGCUGGUGGGAGAGGGAACAGUAGAGACCCAGAGCAUGGAGGGACCUGCCUAGGGCUCACUUUUCCUUCCAGCCACCAGAUUUUUCCUUGCCUGCUCCUGCUUCUUCUGGGAACAGCACUGGGGUCACUCAGCCAUCUGGCUCCCUCAUGCCCUCUCUUUUCCUGCAGGUCACAGCCUGACGUUCUCACACAUGAAGUAACCGUUCAGGCUCCUGGGAAAUACAUGAGAGGGCUCUUUCUUAAACAGUGGCAAUGCCCAGACCACACUCCUUCCUAGGGUACAUGUAAUGUUGUAUGUGUUGUUAAC